rnacentral:rRNA from 1 species
UACGUAGGGUGCAAGCGUUGUCCGGAAUUAUUGGGCGUAAAGAGCUCGUAGGCGGUCUGUCGCGUCGAAUGUGAAAACCCGGGGCUCAACCCCGGGCCUGCACUCGAUACGGGCAGACUAGAGUUCGGUAGGGGAGUCUGGAAUUCCUGGUGUAGCGGUGAAAUGCGCAGAUAUCAGGAGGAACACCGGUGGCGAAGGCGGGACUCUGGGCCGAUACUGACGCUGAGGAGCGAAAGCGUGGGGAGCGAACAGG